rnacentral:rRNA from 1 species
UACGGAGGGUGCAAGCGUUAUCCGGAUUUACUGGGCUUAAAGGGUGCGUAGGUGGGUUGGUAAGUCAGUGGUGAAAUACUUUCGCUUAACGAAGGAACUGCCAUUGAUACUACCAGUCUUGAAUACAGUGGAGGUAGGCGGAAUGCGUCAUGUAGCGGUGAAAUGCUUAGAUAUGACGCAGAACACCAAUUGCGAAGGCAGCUUGCUACACUGUUAUUGACACUGAGGCACGAAAGCGUGGGGAUCAAACAGG